rnacentral:rRNA from 1 species
CAGUCGCCACGGUAAUACAGAGGGUGCGAGCGUUAAUCGGAUUUACUGGGCGUAAAGCGUGCGUAGGCGGCUAAUUGAGUCGGAUGUGAAAUCCCCGAGCUUAACUUGGGAAUUGCAUUCGAUACUGGUUAGCUAGAGUGUGUGAGAGGAUGGUAGAAUUCCAGGUGUAGCGGUGAAAUGCGUAGAGAUCUGGAGGAAUACCGAUGGCGAAGGCAGCCAUCUGGCCUAACACUGACGCUGAGGUACGAAAGCAUGGGGAGCAAACAGGAUUAGAUACCCGUGUAUUCCCUGUCUCUUAUAC